rnacentral:rRNA from 1 species
UGACCUCGGAUCAGGUAGGAAUACCCGCUGAACUUAAGCAUAUCAAGG